UCGAAGGUGUUCUAUGGUCGC
rnacentral:siRNA from 1 species